UAGGGAAUCUUCCGCAAUGGGCGAAAGCCUGACGGAGCAACGCCGCGUGAGUGAUGAAGGUCUUCGGAUCGUAAAACUCUGUUAUUAGGGAAGAACAUAUGUGUAAGUAACUGUGCACAUCUUGACGGUACCUAAUCAGAAAGCCACGGCUAACUACGUGCCACCAGCCGCGGUAAUACGUAGGUGGCAAGCGUUAUCCGGAAUUAUUGGGCGUAAAGCGCGCGUAGNGGGUUUUUUAAGUCUGAUGUGAAAGCCCACGGNUCAACCGUGAAGGGUCAUUGGAAACUGGAAAACUUGAGUGCAGAAGAGGAAAGUGGAAUUCCAUGUGUAGCGGUGAAAUGCGCAGAGAUAUGGAGGAACACCAGUGGCGAAGGCGACUUUCUGGUCUGUAACUGANGCUUGAUGUGCGAAAAGCNUGGGGAUNCAAACAGGAUUAGAUACCCUGUAGUCCACGCCGUAAACGAUGGGUACUAGGUGUAGGAGGUAUCGACCCCUUCUGUGCCGGAGUUAACGCAAUAGGUACCCGCCUGGGAGUACGACCGCAGGUU
rnacentral:rRNA from 1 species